rnacentral:rRNA from 1 species
UUAAGCGACUAAGCGUACACGGUGGAUGCCCUGGCAGUCAGAGGCGAUGAAGGACGUGCUAAUCUGCGAAAAGCGCCGGCGAGGUGAUAUGAACCUUUGACCCGGCGAUGUCCGAAUGGGGAAACCCAGUGCAAUCCGUUGCACUAUCGUUAACUGAAUACAUAGGUUAACGAGGCGAACCGGGGGAACUGAAACAUCUAAGUACCCCGAGGAAAAGAAAUCAACCGAGAUUCCCCCAGUAGCGGCGAGCGAACGGGGAGCAGCCCGGAGUCUGAAUCAGCUUGUGUGUUAGUGGAACGGUCUGGAAAGUCCGACGGUACAGGGUGAUAGUCCCGUACACGAAAGCACACAUGCUGUGAACUCGAAGAGUAGGGCGGGACACGUGGUAUCCUGUCUGAAUAUGGGGGGACCAUCCUCCAAGGCUAAAUACUCCUGACUGACCGAUAGUGAACCAGUACCGUGAGGGAAAGGCGAAAAGAACCCCGGCGAGGGGAGUGAAAAAGAACCUGAAACCGUGUACGUACAAGCAGUGGGAGCCUCUUUAUGGGGUGACUGCGUACCUUUUGUAUAAUGGGUCAGCGACUUAUAUUCUGUAGCAAGGUUAACCGUAUAGGGGAGCCGAAGGGAAACCGAGUCUUAACUGGGCGUUAAGUUGCAGGGUAUAGACCCGAAACCCGGUGAUCAGCCAUGGGCAGGUUGAAGGUUGGGUAACACUAACUGGAGGACCGAACCGACUAAUGUUGAAAAAUUAGCGGAUGACCUGUGGCUGGGGUGAAAGGCCAAUCAAACCGGGAGAUAGCUGGUUCUCCCCGAAAGCUAUUUAGGUAGCGCCUCGUGAACUCAUCUUCGGGGGUAGAGCACUGUUUCGGCUAGGGGGCCAUCCCGGCUUACCAACCCGAUGCAAACUACGAAUACCGAAGAAUGUUAUCACGGGAGACACACGGCGGGUGCUAACGUCCGUCGUGAAGAGGGAAACAACCCAGACCGCCAGCUAAGGUCCCAAAGUCAUGGUUAAGUGGGAAACGAUGUGGGAAGGCACAGACAGCCAGGAUGUUGGCUUAGAAGCAGCCAUCAUUUAAAGAAAGCGUAAUAGCUCACUGGUCGAGUCGGCCUGCGCGGAAGAUGUAACGGGGCUAAACCAUGCACCGAAGCUGCGGCAGCGACGCUUAUGCGUUGUUGGGUAGGGGAGCGUUCUGUAAGCCGUUGAAGGUGUCCUGUGAGGGGUGCUGGAGGUAUCAGAAGUGCGAAUGCUGACAUAAGUAACGAUAAAGCGGGUGAAAAGCCCGCUCGCCGGAAGACCAAGGGUUCCUGUCCAACGUUAAUCGGGGCAGGGUGAGUCGACCCCUAAGGCGAGGCCGAAAGGCGUAGUCGAUGGGAAACAGGUUAAUAUUCCUGUACUUGGUGUUACUGCGAAGGGGACGGAGAAGGCUAUGUCAGCCGGGCGACGGUUGUCCCGGUUUAAGCAUGUAGGCGGAGGUUCGAAAUCCGGUACCUUAUUAACGCUGAGGUGUGAUGACGAGGCACUACGGUGCUGAAGUGAUAAAUGCCCUGCUUCCAGGAAAAGCCUCUAAGCAUCAGGUAACACGAAAUCGUACCCCAAACCGACACAGGUGGUCAGGUAGAGAAUACCAAGGCGCUUGAGAGAACUCGGGUGAAGGAACUAGGCAAAAUGGUGCCGUAACUUCGGGAGAAGGCACGCUGAUGUGUAGGUGAAGUCCUGCGGACGGAGCUGAAAUCAGUCGAAGAUACCAGCUGGCUGCAACUGUUUAUUAAAAACACAGCACUGUGCAAACACGAAAGUGGACGUAUACGGUGUGACGCCUGCCCGGUGCCGGAAGGUUAAUUGAUGGGGUUAGCGGCAACGCGAAGCUCUUGAUCGAAGCCCCGGUAAACGGCGGCCGUAACUAUAACGGUCCUAAGGUAGCGAAAUUCCUUGUCGGGUAAGUUCCGACCUGCACGAAUGGCGUAAUGAUGGCGGCUGUCUCCACGAGACUCAGUGAAAUUGAACUCGCUGUGAAGAUGCAGUGUACCCGCGGCAAGACGGAAAGACCCCGUGAACCUUUACUAUAGCUUGACACUGAACACUGGUCCUUGAUGUGUAGGAUAGGUGGGAGGCUUUGAAGCGUGGACGCCAGUCUGCGUGGAGCCAACCUUGAAAUACCACCCUUUAAUGGCUGGUGUUCUAACGUAGACCCGUAAUCCGGGUUGCGGACAGUGUCUGGUGGGUAGUUUGACUGGGGCGGUCUCCUCCCAAAGAGUAACGGAGGAGCACGAAGGUUGGCUAAUCCUGGUCGGACAUCAGGAGGUUAGUGCAAUGGCAUAAGCCAGCUUGACUGCGAGCGUGACGGCGCGAGCAGGUGCGAAAGCAGGUCAUAGUGAUCCGGUGGUUCUGAAUGGAAGGGCCAUCGCUCAACGGAUAAAAGGUACUCCGGGGAUAACAGGCUGAUACCGCCCAAGAGUUCAUAUCGACGGCGGUGUUUGGCACCUCGAUGUCGGCUCAUCACAUCCUGGGGCUGAAGUAGGUCCCAAGGGUAUGGCUGUUCGCCAUUUAAAGUGGUACGCGAGCUGGGUUUAGAACGUCGUGAGACAGUUCGGUCCCUAUCUGCCGUGGGCGCUGGAGAAUUGAGGGGGGCUGCUCCUAGUACGAGAGGACCGGAGUGGACGCAUCACUGGUGUUCGGGUUGUCAUGCCAAUGGCACUGCCCGGUAGCUAAAUGCGGAAGAGAUAAGUGCUGAAAGCAUCUAAGCACGAAACUUGCCCCGAGAUGAGUUCUCCCUGAGACCUUGAGUCUCCUGAAGGAACGUUGAAGACGACGACGUUGAUAGGUCGGGUGUGUAAGCGCAGCGAUGCGUUGAGCUAACCGAUACUAAUGAACCGUGAGGCUUAACCU